rnacentral:rRNA from 1 species
UACAGAGGGUGCAAGCGUUGUUCGGAAUCAUUGGGCGUAAAGGGCGUGUAGGCGGUUUGUUAAGUCAUGUGUGAAAUCCCUCGGCUCAACCGGGGAACGACGCAUGAAACUGGCAAGCUAGAGUACCAAAGAGGGUGGUGGAAUUCCCGGUGUAGCGGUGAAAUGCGUAGAGAUGCGGAGGAACACCGAUGGCGAAGGCAGCCCCCUGGGCUAACACUGACGCUCAGGCACGAAAGCGUGGGGAGCAAACAGG